AAAUAUAUUAUCUAUCUAUACUGGUUGAAGGUGUGUAGUCUGCAGCUGCAAAAGAGGUAGCUCUGAUCUACUCAAACCUGUGGGCAUGAGAUGGAAAGACUGGUUUAAAGGUGAGAACUAAUAGCCUUGAAUCUCUAUGUUAAAUCUGAAGAAGAGUGUCCAAAGAAGAGCAAUGAAGCUGGUUAAAGGUCCUGAGAACAACUCUGGUGAGGAGCAGAAACCAGAGAGGUGCAGACGGGCGGGCAGGAGGAGAGAGACCGAGCGGAGCUCUGGGUCAGGAACCCCCCCAGCACGCAGCGGGACUUACCAUGCCGGGCGGUGCGAGGUCGGAGAGCAGCGGUGCCCAAGCGGGGGGUGGCUCUAAGUGACCAGAGACCGGACCCAAGGAUGCCGCCCACACCCAGGGCACCGGAGAAGCGUCUCCGCCCGCGGGCUGAGAGGCCCCCAAGCGAGAAGCGCGGGGCGCGGAGCAUCCCGGCGGGGCUCAGGCUCCAGAACAUCCCUGACCUGCCCUGCCCUGCAGAGCACAGCCCAGCCUGUCGGCAUGCCCUGUCCGGGCGGUAAUCCCGCCUCUCCGGUCCAGCGGCCGAGCGACGGGCUACUGCCCAGGCUGCCUCCAAGAUUGACAACUUUAAACAGCUCGUCUGCAUCGUGAACGCCUGGUCCAGUAACUCUUCUAAUCUAAUCUAAUCUAAUCUAAUCUAAUCUAAUCUAAUCUAGCGAUAUGAUCUGAUCACCUUUUUCCAUGUAAUCUUCUGUAGUAAAAUUCUAAGUGUUCGCAAGGCAAACUGAAACAUAAACUCAUAAAGCUACUCUCAAAGCGUUUAUCUGAAACUGCUGUCCAUGGAUUGCUAACACCUGUCGUAUGCUAUACUCUGUGCUUGUGCAACAUUCCCUUUUUGAGGGAUCUGGCUGCAUAGCCCUCCAGAUUGUCCAAUACAUAUUUGUCAUGAUUAAAAGUGAGCCUAUUUUACAGGUCGUUGUGAAGUAAAAGGUCCAUUAAAAUAAAAGGAAAUACAUUGUUAAU